ACACAUAUAAGUUCCGUUGUUUCCAAAUCCUCCAACAAACAAUGCCAAAAAGAGGGGACCAAUCUACAUCAUGAAAAUUAACAUCAAAAGUAUUUUUUUCAAGUUGGUAGAUAACUAUACCUCCAGCAAGGAAGAAAAAAACUGGUUUGAAAUCCUCUUGGGGAUUAACUGCUUCCACACUUCUUUAGCUUGGCUACAAUCUUGCAACACGUGAAGACAAAAUUCUUCAACACUUUGGCAUAGCUUGA
rnacentral:lncRNA from 1 species